rnacentral:lncRNA from 7 species
GCAGGUCUGCUCACUGAUAAAUGCACAAAUAUCUCAAAUGCUGGGGGGGUUAGACAAGCGUCCUGGACACCAGCAGACAUCAACGUGACUCCUGCACAGAGCUCUCACAUGGUUACUGCGUGCUCAAGUCUGGGUUUCCCAACAGAGAUUGCUGCUUGCUUCCUGCUAGCUGUCACCCGAGGAAAAACCACUCUGAACCUCAGUAAGUAGCAGCAGGGAAACACCUUCCUCCAUGGUGCAGCUGCUAUGUUAAGCUCACCACAUCUUUGCAGGUGUGGCUGAUGCCCAGGUUGCUUUAGGUUGGCCGUGGUGUGCACGGUGUGCAGCCUCCGUGCUGAGGUACAGCACAGGCAAACCACCAGUGUGCCCUGCAGCGUGAAGGGCUCUGGCUGACAUUGGCUUUGGAGCUGGAGGUGUGGUCCCAAUGCAGUUCCCAGCGACCUGCCCUGCAGCUCAGGGCUUGCAAGUGUUGCUGGCCAGGAGCUCUCAGGCUGCGGGAGGAGGGAGGAAACUGGCAGAGGGUGUGAAAGCAGACCAGACAGCACAGAAGAAGUAUGGGUGAACAGUAAGCUUCCUCAGAGAGAUGCUGUGUGAUAAACUAGCACAUCCUCCAGCUGCUGAAAAUGCUUAAGGUGGGUCAGAGGCGAUGAGGUGAUGGCUGUGGUACCGGAGCAUCUCACUGCUCCUGCAGGAGUGGGAGCAGGCUGGGGCCGGAGGGAGGACAUCACAGCACAGCAGUGUGUCUGCCACAGGCUGAGGCGCUGGAACAACUGGCCGUGCUCAGAGGAAAACAGCACUGUUAGCAGCACAGGGUUUUGCUGGGGGGACCUGCAGCCUCUCGAGGACUUGGGCAGCCCUGCAGUGUGUGGGCAGCAACGUUUCCCGUGA